rnacentral:rRNA from 1 species
UGAGGAAUAUUGGUCAAUGGGCGAGAGCCUGAACCAGCCAAGUAGCGUGCAGGAAGACGGCCCUAUGGGUUGUAAACUGCUUUUGUAUGGGGAUAAAGUCAAUCACGUGUGAUUGUUUGCAGGUACCAUACGAAUAAGGACCGGCUAAUUCCGUGCCAGCAGCCGCGGUAAUACGGAAGGUCCGGGCGUUAUCCGGAUUUAUUGGGUUUAAAGGGAGCGUAGGCCGGAGAUUAAGUGUGUUGUGAAAUGUAGACGCUCAACGUCUGACUUGCAGCGCAUACUGGUUUCCUUGAGUACGCACAACGUUGGCGGAAUUCGUCGUGUAGCGGUGAAAUGCUUAGAUAUGACGAAGAACUCCGAUUGUGAAGGCAGCUGACGGGAGCGCCACUGACGCUGAAGCUCGAAGGUGCGGGUAUCGAACAGGAUUAGAUACCCUGGUAGUCCGCACAGUAAACGAUGGAUGCCCGCUGUUGGUACCUGGUAUCAGCGGCUAAGCGAAAGCAUUAAGCAUCCCACCUGGGGAGUACGCCGGCAACGGUG